rnacentral:rRNA from 1 species
UACGUAGGGUGCAAGCGUUAAUCGGAAUUACUGGGCGUAAAGCGUGCGCAGGCGGUUAUGUAAGACAGGUGUGAAAUCCCCGGGCUUAACCUGGGAACUGCAUUCGAGACUGCAUUGCUAGAGUAUGGGAGAGGGAAGUGGAAUUUCCGGUGUAGCGGUGAAAUGCGUAGAUAUCGGAAGGAACAUCAGUGGCGAAGGCGACUUCCUGGACCAAUACUGACGCUCAGGUGCGAAAGCGUGGGGAGCAAACAGG